rnacentral:lncRNA from 1 species
UUGUGUAAGGCAAUUGGGGGUUUGGGAUUUGGGAAGAAGAGAUUGAGAUUAUAAGUUAAGGAACUUGGGGUUUGGGGUUUCGGGUUAUAAGGAUUUACAUAUCUUUCUCGUAAAAUCCUCAUAAAAAAAACAUGGGCCUUGUUAUUUCCUCAUAAAAUAACGAGGUCUUUUCGACGAAAUUUAAAAACACUUCGUCGUAAACUACUCAUAAAAAGAAAACGUGGGCCUUGUUAUUUCUUCGUAAGUUUACGUGGACUUUACAACGAAAAUUAAAAAUGCAUGUGUUUAGUUUGUUUAAUCAUGAAAAUUAAAUUAUAUAAUUUGAUUUUGCGUAAAGAAAUUGGGGGUUUUGGGUUUUAGGGAUUUACAUAUAUUCCUCGUAAAGUCCUCGUAAAAGAAAAAACACGGACCUUGCUACUUCCUCGUAAAAAGAAAAAAAAUAGGCCUUGUUAUUUUUUCGUAAAUUAGCGAGGUGUUUACGAUAAAAUUUAAAAACACUUCGUCGUAAACUACUCGUAAAAAAACACGGGCCU